AAACUUACCUGGAGGGAAGAUAACAUGAUGACAACGGUGGUUUUCCCAGGGUGGGGUUUAUCCAUUGUACUAGGAUGUGCUGACCCAGUGAUUUCCCCAAAAGAGGGAAACUUGUCUGCAUAAUUUGUGGUAGUGGGGUG
rnacentral:snRNA from 1 species